AACCUGAUUAAAAAUAAUUUAACAGCAUUAUCCAGAAACCAACAGGUUUCGUAGAGCAUUCAUGCUUUAACAAAAGCAACUUAUUCAGAAUGAAGAGCAACUCCAACCGCUAAAAGUUACAAUAACCAAGUUGCAUAACAUCCAUAAACAAUUAACGCUUCCCAAAUAACCUGGGAGCACAAAGCAUGAUAUGCAACAACUCUUCGGCAUUAUCUCAUUGAAUUCCAAAAUUUAAAAAAAAAAAAA
rnacentral:misc_RNA from 1 species